CAACUAUCCUGAGCUGCUGUUCAUGAUUCAGGUUGGCAUCAAUCAAAUUGGAAGCACAUGAAUUAUACAUUAUUGUUUCUGAGCCACAGACAUGAAGAAUGGGAACACUACCAUUGCAUCUCCCAGCCCCAGAGAAGGAUGUUCACUCCCAUGUUCUCACCUUUUCUUCAUCUUUAUUUGAUGGCUAUAACUUUGUCAUUCAUAUUUUUUAAAAAUCGUGGGUGGAUGUUUUGGAUUUUUUUAAGAUAUACAGUAAAUACCAACUUCUUAAAUUUUCCCUCGCUGCUUCCAGAGGAGGCUGGUAUAUUUUUUCUCUGUUCAACAACGAGAGAAGUAUCAAGUUUUAGUUAUCUUCUACAGCACAUCUUUUGAGUAAAGACAUGCAAGUAGUACUGAAACGACUGCAAUGUGAUAAUCACGGAGACUGGACUGGUUCAACAUCCAGAUGUUUCGAUUUUUUUGAUAAAUCAAUCUCCAAGGUUCAGCUCAUUCACAGUGUGAGGCUACUUACCUGUUCAAAGUACAUCACUUUUGUCCUCCAGUUUUCAUAUUGGCUUCCUGUCAAGGUUUGCAUUGAUUUUAAAGUUUUAUUGUUGACGUUUAAAGCACUUAAUGGCCUGAUACCUUCUUACAUUAAUGAUU
rnacentral:lncRNA from 1 species